GAUGAACGCUGGCGGCGUGCCUAACACAUGCAAGUCGAACGGGAGCCCUUGGAUUCGUCUGGGGGUGAGAGUGGCGGACGGGUGAGUAACACGUAGGUGACCUGCCCCAAAGCGGGGAAUAACCACUGGAAACGGUGGCUAAUACCCCAUGUGCUCGGUGGUUCGGUCCAUCGAGUAAAGCUCCGGCGCUUUGGGAGGGGCCUGCGGCCCAUCAGGUAGUUGGUGGGGUAAUGGCCUACCAAGCCAAUGACGGGUAGGGGGCGUGAGAGCGUGAUCCCCCACACUGGCACUGAGAUACGGGCCAGACUCCUACGGGUGGCAG
rnacentral:rRNA from 1 species